GCAGUCGUGGCCGAGUGGUUAAGGCGAUGGACUUGAAAUCCAUUGGGGUUUCCCCCCCGCGCAGGUUCGAAUCCUGCCGGCUGCG
rnacentral:tRNA from 1 species